UUUUAAAGAGAGUUUGAUCCUGGCUCAGGACGAACGCUGGCGGCGUGCCUAAUACAUGCAAGUCGAACGAACGGAGGAAGAGCUUGCUCUUCCAAAGUUAGUGG
rnacentral:rRNA from 1 species